CCAUGCAUGUCUAAGUAUAAACGAUUUAAUCGUGAAACCGCGAAUGGCUCAUUAUAACAGCUAUAAUUUACUUGAUCUUGACACAAUCCUACUUGGAUAACUGUGGUAAUUCUAGAGCUAAUACAUGCAUUAAAGCUCUGACCUCACGGGAAGAGUGCAUUUAUUAGAACAAAACCAAGCGGCUUCGGCUGUUUCUGGUUGACUCAUAGUAACUGAGCUGAUCGCAUGGUCUUGCACCGGCGACGUGUCUUUCAAGUAUCUGCCGUAUCAACUUUCGAUGGUAGUGUAUCUGACUACCAUGGUGAUCACGCGUAACGGAGAAUAAGGGUUCGGCUCCGGAGAGUUCGCCUGAGAAAUCGCGAACACAUCUAAGGAAGGCAGCAGGCGCGAAAAUUACCCACUCUCAGCACGAGGAGGUAGUGACGAAAAAUAACGAGACCGUUCUCUUAUGAGGCCGGUCAUCGGAAUGGGUACAAUUUAAACCCUUUAACGAGUAUC
rnacentral:rRNA from 1 species